UACGUAGGGGGCAAGCGUUGUCCGGAUUUAUUGGGCGUAAAGAGCGUGUAGGCGGCCAUACAGGUCCGUUGUGAAAACUGGAGGCUUAACCUCCAGACGUCGAUGGAAACCGUAUGGCUAGAGUCCGGAAGAGGAGAGUGGAAUUCCUGGUGUAGCGGUGAAAUGCGCAGAUAUCAGGAAGAACACCCGUGGCGAAGGCGGCUCACUGGACCAUAACUGACGCUGAGGCGCGAAAGCUAGGGGAGCAAACAGG
rnacentral:rRNA from 1 species